rnacentral:rRNA from 1 species
UACGUAGGGUGCAAGCGUUAAUCGGAAUUACUGGGCGUAAAGCGUGCGCAGGCGGUGAUGUAAGACAGUUGUGAAAUCCCCGGGCUCAACCUGGGAACUGCAUCUGUGACUGCAUUGCUGGAGUGCGGCAGAGGGGGAUGGAAUUCCGCGUGUAGCAGUGAAAUGCGUAGAUAUGCGGAGGAACACCGAUGGCGAAGGCAAUCCCCUGGGCCUGCACUGACGCUCAUGCACGAAAGCGUGGGGAGCAAACAGGAUUAGAAACCCCCGUAGUCC